rnacentral:rRNA from 1 species
AGCGAACGCUGGCGGCAGGCCUAACACAUGCAAGUCGAACGGACCCUUCGGGGUUAGUGGCGGACGGGUGAGUAACACGUGGGAACGUGCCUUUAGGUUCGGAAUAGCUCCUGGAAACGGGUGGUAAUGCCGAAUGUGCCCUUUGGGGGGAAGAUUUAUCGCCUUUAGAGCGGCCCGCGUCUGAUUAGCUAGUUGGUGAGGUAAUGGCUCAUCAAGGCGACGAUCAGUAGCUGGUCUGAGAGGAUGAGCAGCCACAUUGGGACUGAGACACGGCCCAAACUCCUACGGGAGGCAGCAGUGGGGAAUCUUGCGCAAUGGGCGAAAGCCUGACGCAGCCAUACCGCGUGGAUGAUGAAGGUCUUAGGAUUGUAAAAUCCUUUCACCGGUGAAGAUAAUGACGGUAGCCGGAGAAGAAGCCCCGGCUAACUUCGUGCCAGCCGCCGCGGUAACAC